rnacentral:rRNA from 1 species
UACAGAGGAUGCAAGCGUUAUCUGGAAUGAUUGGGCGUAAAGCGUCUGUGGGUGGCUUUUUAAGUCCACCGUCAAAUCCCAGGGCUCAACUCUAGACAUGCGGUGGAAACUACCAAGCUGGAGUACGGUAGGGACAGAGGGAAUUUCCAGUGGAGUGGUGAAAUGCAUAGAGAUUGGAAAGAACACCAACGGCGAUAGAACUCUGCUGCGUCGACACUCACACUAAGAGACAAAAGCUAGGGGAGCCAAUGGG